AUUAUUUGUCAAAUAUAUUUUGUAAUUGCGUGUUACUUACCAAUUUGUGUGAAAAGUUUUAAUAAAUGUAUCUCAUGAACCGUAAGUUUGCGCAACCUAAAUCUUUGCAAAACUCUUUCUUUUAUGUUAAAGUUUGGGCUAAAUUUUGUUUUCCUAAUGGUGAUGGGACAUCCAUUGAAUCAUUAAAAACAGUGAAUGCCCAGAAUAGGAUACUAUGUGAAAAUCAUUUGAAUGAAUCUUCAUUUACCAGCAGCGAUAGGAAAAGACUUAACAAGUUAGAUUAAGAGUGAAUAGAGGAGGAUAUAGACCAAUUAAAAAACAAACAUUGUAGUCCAUAUAGAGCAAGUUAUGACAUCCAAGAACCAUCAACUAGCAAAGGUAUUUUGUAGGACUUGGACGUGAAAAAGUUCAGUGAACUUACACCUCAAAAGCAAACACUGUCUAAGAGAUGCAGAAAAAAUCUAUCUGAAAUAGUGAGGCUCUGAAAAAAGUUUCAAGGAGAUUGUGACACAGCAGACAAGUCAGCAGCUCUUGUCGAGGAGGUACAGUAAAGUGGAGCCACAUAGAGGAGUUUUAUAAUAAAGAUCGCGAGAAUCCCAACCGUGUUUGCUCCAGCUUUAACCCAGCACCACUUACAACCAGUACAGAAUGGCAAAAAGAAAAUCAAAGAGCGCCUAGCAGAUCAAAUUUUAAGCCAUUCGGUUGCAGUUGGAAUAUUUGCCAAAAUGAAUGAUGACAAGACGCCCCUGGAACAACUGUCGCUGGACAAGCUUUUCGACUGAACGGAGAUUCGACCGACAGGAAAGAGGUAUAAACACUUAUUAUAAUAAUACUUGACAU